rnacentral:piRNA from 1 species
UGUCCUGCAAAAUGGUGUAAGGUCGGCCAGU